KUCCCUACGCCUAUUCUUGUAUUCCGUGAUGACUCUGGUGGAGAAUAAAUCUCCAAGAUGUUGCAUUCAAUCCUUGUUGAGCACGGUGCUCUUGCUCAGUUCUCUUAUCCUGGUAACUUCCCUACCUGUCGAUAGUCGAGGCACUCUUGGCAGUUUCUCUUUUCAUGUUCCAUCUUUUGCUCGUCUUCCUUGACUUUACUACACUCGACUGUUCGCGUGUUGUGGAUUCUUCUAAUGAGUCAACUCCCUCGAUUACUAUGUAUUCUUCUGUUGGCAACACAUAGCUCC
rnacentral:lncRNA from 1 species